rnacentral:rRNA from 1 species
CGGACGGGUGAGUAACGCGUGAGAAUCUGGCUCUAGGUCUGGGACAACCACUGGAAACGGUGGCUAAUACCGGAUGUGCCGAGAGGUGAAAGGUUAACUGCCUAGAGAUGAGCUCGCGUCUGAUUAGCUAGUUGGAAGUGUAAUGGACUCCCAAGGCGACGAUCAGUAGCUGGUCUGAGAGGACGAUCAGCCACACUGGGACUGAGACACGGCCCAGACUCCUACGGGAGGCAGCAGUGGGGAAUUUUCCGCAAUGGGCGAAAGCCUGACGGAGCAAUACCGCGUGAGGGAGGAAGGCUCUUGGGUCGUAAACCUCUUUUCUCAGGGAAGAACACAAUGACGGUACUUGAGGAAUAAGCAUCGGCUAACUCCGUGCCAGCAGCCGCGGUAAUACGGAGGAUGCAAGCGUUAUCCGGAAUGAUUGGGCGUAAAGCGUCCGCAGGUGGCAAUGUAAGUCUGCUGUUAAAGAGUCUAGCUCAACUAGAUAAGAGCAGUGGAAACUACAUAGCUAGAGUACGUUCGGGGCAGAGGGAAUUCCUGGUGUAGCGGUGAAAUGCGUAGAGAUCAGGAAGAACACCGGUGGCGAAGGCGCUCUGCUAGGCCGUAACUGACACUGAGGGACGAAAGCUAGGGGAGCGAAUGGGAUUAGAUACCCCAGUAGUC